rnacentral:rRNA from 1 species
UGUUUCGGCUAGGGGGUCAUCCCGACUUACCAACCCGAUGCAAACUACGAAUACCGAAGAAUGUUAUCACGGGAGACACACGGCGGGUGCUAACGUCCGUCGUGAAGAGGGAAACAACCCAGACCGCCAGCUAAGGUCCCAAAGUCAUGGUUAAGUGGGAAACGAUGUGGGAAGGCCCAGACAGCCAGGAUGUUGGCUUAGAAGCAGCCAUCAUUUAAAGAAAGCGUAAUAGCUCACUGGUCGAGUCGGCCUGCGCGGAAGAUGUAACGGGGCUAAACCAUGCACCGAAGCUGCGGCAGCGACACUAUGUGUUGUUGGGUAGGGGAGCGUUCUGUAAGCCGUUGAAGGUGGCCUGUGAGGGUUGCUGGAGGUAUCAGAAGUGCGAAUGCUGACAUAAGUAACGAUAAUGCGGGUGAAAAACCCGCACGCCGGAAGACCAAGGGUUCCUGUCCAACGUUAAUCGGGGCAGGGUGAGUCGACCCCUAAGGCGAGGCCGAAAGGCGUAGUCGAUGGGAAACAGGUUAAUAUUCCUGUACUUGGUGUUACUGCGAAGGGGGGACGGAGAAGGCUAUGUUGGCCGGGCGACGGUUGUCCCGGUUUAAGCAUGUAGGCGGAUGUUCCAGGUAAAUCCGGAACGUUAUUAACGCUGAGGUGUGAUGACGAGGCACUACGGUGCUGAAGUGACAAAUGCCCUGCUUCCAGGAAAAGCCUCUAAGCAUCAGGUAACAUCAAAUCGUACCCCAAACCGACACAGGUGGUCAGGUAGAGAAUACCAAGGCGCUUGAGAGAACUCGGGUGAAGGAACUAGGCAAAAUGGUGCCGUAACUUCGGGAGAAGGCACGCUGAUGGUAGGUGAAGUGACUUGCUCA